GCCUCCUUAGCUCAGUUGGAAGAGCGUGUGACUUUUAAUCUCAAGGUCGCGGGAUCGAAACCCGCAGGGGGCU
rnacentral:tRNA from 1 species